CCUAUUGAUUUUGGGGUCACUAGGUCAAAGGUCAAGGUCACAGUUACCCGAAAUAGUAAAAUGGUUUCCGGAUGAUAACUCAAGAACGCUUAGGCCUAGGAUCAUGAAACUUGAUAGGUAGAUUGAUCAUGACUCGCAGAUGACCCCUAUUGAUUUUCAGGUCACAAGGUCAAAGGUCAAGGUCAAGAUGACCCGAAAUAGUAAAAUGGUUUCCGGAUGAUAACUGAAGAACGCUUAUUCCUAGGAUCAUGAAACUUGAUAGGUAGAUUGAUCAUGACUCGCAGAUGACCCCAAUUGAUUUUCAGGUCACUAGGUCAAAGGUCAAGGUCACGGUGACCCGAAAUAGUAAAAUGGUGUCCGGAUGAUAACUCAAGAACGCUUAUGGCUAGGAUCAUGAAACUUCAUAGGUACAUUGAUCAUGACUUGUAGAUGACCCCUAUAGAUUUUCAGGUCACUAGGUCAAAGGUCAAGGUCACAGUGACAAAAAACAUAUUCACACAAUGGCUGUCACUACAACGGAGAGCCCAUAUGGGGGGCAUGCAUGUUUUACAAACAGCCCUUGUUUGCAUACUUGUUUACCAACAUCACCCCAAGCUAUAAACAAGAGCAGACCACUGUAUCAAGCAUUUUUACAUAA